UGGGAACGUACCCUUUGGUUCGGAACAACCCAGGGAAACUUGGGCUAAUACCGGAUAAGUCCGUAAGGAGAAAGAUUUAUCGCCAAAGGAUCGGCCCGCGUCUGAUUAGCUAGUUGGUAGGGUAAUGGCCUACCAAGGCUACGAUCCGUAGCUGGUCUGAGAGGACGAUCAGCCACACUGGGACUGAGACACGGCCCAGACUCCUACGGGAGGCAG
rnacentral:rRNA from 1 species